rnacentral:rRNA from 1 species
WGUCUUUAAAUUGAUGACUUGUAUGAAAGAUUGGAUGAAGUGUAGACUGUCUCUUAAUUAUUAGUGUAAAAUUUAAUUUUUUAAUUAAAAAGUUAAAAUAAUUUAAAAAGACGAGAAGACCCUAUAGAGUUUUAUAGAUAGAUUAAUUAAGAUUAUUUGAAAUUUAAAAUUGAAAUUAGUUUAUUUAUUAUAUUGGGGUGAUAGAAAAAUAUACAUAACUUUUUUUUUUAUAAAAACAUUUAUAAGUGAUUAAAUGAUCCAAUAUUAUUGAUUAUAAGAAAAAAUUACCUUAGGGAUAACAGCGUAAUUUUUUUUUUUAGUUCGUAUAAAAAAAAGAGUUUGCGACCUCGAUUUUGGAUUAAGAUAAAAUUUAAAUGU